CGCGGCCUAUCAGCUUGUUGGUGGGGUAACGGCUCACCAAGGCAUCGACGGGUAGCUGGUCUGAGAGGAUGAUCAGCCACACUGGGACUGAGACACGGCCCAGACUCCUACGGGAGGUAGCAGUGGGGAAUAUUGCACAAUGGGCGAAAGCCUGAUGCAGCAACGCCGCGUGCGGGAUGAAGGCCCUAGGGUUGUAAACCGCUUUCAGCAGGGAAGAAAAUGACGGUACCUGUAGAAGAAGGUGCGGCCAACUACGUGCCAGCAGCCGCGGUGACACGUAGGCACCAAGCGUUGUCCGGAUUUAUUGGGCGUAAAGAGCUCGUAGGCGGUUCAGUAAGUCGGGUGUGAAAACUCUGGGCUCAACCCAGAGACGCCACCCGAUACUGCUGUGACUAGAGUGCGGUAGGGGAGCGGGGAAUUCCUAGUGUAGCGGUGAAAUGCGCAGAUAUUAGGAGGAACACCAGUGGCGAAGGCGCCGCUCUGGGCCGUAACUGACGCUGAGGAGCGAAAGCGUGGGUAGCAAACAGGAUUAGAUACCCUGGUAGUCCACGCCGUAAACGUUGGGCACUAGGUGUGGGUCUCAACCAACGAGAUCCGCGCCGUCGCUAACGCAUUAAGUGCCCCGCCUGGGGAGUACGG
rnacentral:rRNA from 1 species